rnacentral:lncRNA from 1 species
UUCAUGAGUUCUUUUCUUCACUGCGGAAAUGGAGAUCACGACUGCAGGUACGGAUGAGAAAACAGUCCCUUUGAUCGGACAUCACUGACACAAGCAAUUUCAUUACUGGAUGAAUGGCGGGAAUCAUACCUUGAGGUCGAACUGCGAUCGGUUCUGCUUCAACAGGUACAGGAGCGCAAAGAAGUCAUCGGUAUCCACGUCCGUGUCCAAGAGAAUCCGGCGAGGAUUCGCAUCCACCACGCAGGAUUUCCAACCAAGGAAUUCCAUCAGCACAAGGAACAGAAGCGCGACACUCCUUCCGGUUCUCGUCAUCUCUUCCCCAACCGAGCAUGCAAAAGAAUCACCAGGCCGAUCACCAACCUCAACUUAAAUACGAGCCGAUUCUUGACCUCAAAACACACUCACAACAGACUCGUUCUACAAACGAACACAGACAGAGGUGAAUAGAAGGAUGAGAAACAAGCUGGGAGGUUAUUGGAAUUCUAAGUCGUGGAAGAAACACAAAGAAGUUAAUAGGUUUUAAAGAUCUAAUAAAUCAAAUUAACUAUUGAUUCUUAAAAAAAAUAAAAAUAAAAAUUUAUAUUGAAU